AAAAUGCUGGAGGUGUUAGAUGUUAACCUGAUGCCAUCUGACAGGAACAAAGCGGCAGGAUGAAUGCAUUUAAAUAGCUAGAUGUUAAGCUCAUGAACAAUGUUUACUACCAAGUUUCUUCGAUGAGAAGAUUACGCUUGCCUCUUGAGAACAGACUGAUGUCAUGGGAAAACAAAAUAAGCAACCACACCUACGAAAUAAAUGCUGUGUCAAAUUGUGUGGCUUGUUUAGAAGAAGACUUUGGAUUUAUUUCUAAGAGACUGGACUUAUGUGAAGACAAAAAGGUGACGAUCCAUUAUAGCAAUCAUACAGGACAUCUUAGUAACCAGAUUUUUAACACUGUCUGUAUAACUGUAUAGUAAAACACCCUAGAAACUACUUACAAUGUGUUUUA